CACGGCGAACUUCAGCCGAGCUUCUUCAUAGCUGGAUCCCAGCCGAGCUCCUACUGUGGACGGAUCUCAGACGAGCUUCUACAAUGGGGCAGGCUCCACCAGUCAGGUCACUACUCCGAGCUUCUACAAUAAGAAAUCUCCAUCCGAGCUCUCACGACAACCGAUCUUCGAUCGAGCUUCUACAAUAAGUGACCUCCUUUUAGCCUUCUACAAGAAUCAGACUCCGUCUGAACUUUCAUAACGGAUGGA
rnacentral:lncRNA from 1 species